GCUUACGGCCACACCUCCCUGAACUCGUCUGAUCUCGGAAGCUAAGCAGGGUCGGGCCAGGUUAGUACUUGGAUGGGAGACCGCCUGGGAAUACCAGGGGCUGUAAACC
ensembl:rRNA 5S_rRNA 5S ribosomal RNA